AAAUGUAAAGGUUUUAUAUUUGGUUACUUUAUGUAUGAGGGGCAAAAUGUAGGCCGCACAGUGGCCGACUGGUUAGUACGGCUGCUUCAAUAUUCGAACUAAUUCUAAAUAAUUGCUACACAGGUAACUAAUGGAUGUAUGCAUAUUUGAGAUAUUAUUAAAUAUAAUGUUGAAGUUAAAUAAAUGUCAAAAAUAAUAUUUAUAUUAAAAUAAUAUCCAUCCAUCCAUUUUCUGAUGCGCUUUUCCUCACAGGGGUCUGGAGCCUAUCCCAGCGGUCUUCGGGCAGUAUUCCGCCUACACUAUUGUAACCCUUUCAGGGACCGCGGUUACUACAGUGAACAGCUUAUCAUGUUAACAGAUUACAGGGUGCAUGAAAAGACGAAUAAUACAUUAAAUAUAAUUUCAUUUUACUCCUUGUAAAGCAUCUUUGUAUUUAGAAAAGUGUUUUCCUCCCAAAUGUAUUGGUUUGUAUUAUUUUGUAUGAAAAUACAUUUAAAUGCCAUAAUUUUAAAGGAACUCAGAGUCAUUAAAUUGCGCCGUUGUACUUACAAUUUUAACCUUUCUCAAUCGCUGAACAGAGAAAUUCAAAUAUUGACAGAGCAUGAGCCCGCACUUGAACUAAGAACAACUGGUCCGCAGUGCCCCCUGGUGACCACCUUCAGCAGUGUUCUGGAGCAGCAUUUGUCCCCUUAUCACACCCCUGUCACCGCUCUGUGUCGAAUCCUUCACGCAAGUCGUAAUACAGUACCAGUGUGACAUUCUGGCUGUCCUGUCGCAGUGGAUGUGAAGUGUCCUGGCUGAGAGAAUGGACUGAUAAGACUACCGACCCCCACCCCCAUUUCCUGUUCCCUUCAAGUUGUCAUGGCAACAUCAGAAGAGGUUCAAAUGGUCAGAGGAAAUGUUCCCAGUGCAGUGAAAGUUGGCAGUCAUUUGCAAUGUGAGGGCUGGUGUUGGAUCGCAUCUUUUCGCGAGAUUCAUUAGAGGCAGUCUUUCAUGGAGGAGAUCGUGGGCAUCAAGGUGGAGACUGUGGAGUAAUAAUAAUAAAUACUGUACUUAAUAAGGAAUUAAUACUGCAGCGUCCAAAGCCAUGGCAAUGGAACAGGGUAAGGCAACAUUAACAAGUGGAUUUUUGUCAUAACCAAUUUCCAGAGAGUGCGAGGGCAGCAAGAAAAUAGACCACUCUAGCAAAUUGGAGAUUGUGGAGUUGAAUUUAUUACAAGAGAACAAGAGUGCAUUAAAAAAAAAGAUAACAUACUGAAAAUACAUUUUAUUCUAACGAAAUCAACGAUAAUAAUGGAACAAAUUGUCCUUCAUCUUUGUCACUCGAAUUCAUAAAUUAACUUUUUAUUGAUGUUAAAUGUAUUUCUUUCGGUAUUACAGUACAACCGUCCAGAAAAUGAAAGGGUAAACAGUUGUUUGGGAGUUGUAGUGUACUCUACUUCAUUACACAACUUUGCGACGCGCAUGUAAAACGACUGAAAAGUUAACUAAAAAGAAGCAUUUCUGGAAAACAAAACUAUGAAAUACCAACAAACACACUCUAAAAACCCUUUCAAAAUAACUGAAUACAAAAACAAAACCAAAAAAAAGCCAAACUGAAAUAAAAAAACGUGAAAAAAUCGAAAUUUUCAUUUUAGCUAGCUACCGCUAGCUAUAUCGCUGGUAAACCAGGCACUGGAAACAGUGGUAGUAAACUAGGUUUCCCAAUGGCAAAGUGUUAACUGCACAAAGCUGACAAGGUAACAUGCCGUGAAAAGGGGGCAGCUCGAGCGCCCGUAUGUAGCCCACAUGUAGCAACAAGCCUGCCAUAGCUAUCUAAAAACAAACAACAACAAACCGCCUCCUGCACAUCUUGAUCAUGACGAUGACCCUUGCACAGAUAAAAGCAGGUCGGUCCAUUAGCAUUUCUCUUAAAAUGCUUUGAGUCAUCAGAAUUGGCCCGGAGGUCUGCCUGCUUCUCUCUCUCGCACGCAUCUGAAGAGCAAGCAGAAAGGAAGCGGGAGUCAGGGCGAGUUGUGAUUAAGGAAACUGUAAGGAUACAUUUACUUGACUAUAUUCAUGAAUAGAGUAAGGCUAGGAGGUAUGCAAUAUCGCUCAAAAGCCCGAACACGCUCAUAUGUUUCUUUGCACUGCAGGAAGUUAAUUACAUCAUGUCAUGAAUGAUGAUUUAGUGUUUUUC